AAUACAUGCAAGUCGAACGAGAGCGACCGGUGCUUGCACUGGUCAAUCUAGUGGCGAACGGGUGAGUAACACGUGGGUAACCUGCCCAUCAGAGGGGGAUAACAUUCGGAAACGGAUGCUAAAACCGCAUAGGUCUUCGAACCGCAUGGUUUGAAGAGGAAAAGAGGCGCAAGCUUCUGCUGAUGGAUGGACCCGCGGUGCAUUAGCUAGUUGGUGAGGUACGGCUCACCAAGGCCGUGAUGCAUAGCCGACCUGAGAGGGUGAUCGGCCACAUUGGGACUGAGACACGGCCCAAACUCCUACGGGAGGCAGCAGUAGGGAAUCUUCCGCAAUGGACGCAAGUCUGACGGAGCAACGCCGCGUGAGUGAAGAAGGUUUUCGGAUCGUAAAACUCUGUUGUUAGAGAAGAACAAGUGCUAGAGUAACUGUUAGCGCCUUGACGGUAUCUAACCAGAAAGCCACGGCUAACUACGUGCCAGCAGCCGCGGUAAUACGUAGGUGGCAAGCGUUGUCCGGAUUUAUAGGGCGUAAAGCGAGCGCAGGCGGUUCCUUAAGUCUGAUGUGAAAGCCCCCGGCUCAACCGGGGAGGGUCAUUGGAAACUGGGGAACUUGAGUGCAGAAGAGGAGAGUGGAAUUCCAUGUGUAGCGGUGAAAUGCGUAGAUAUAUGGAGGAACACCAGUGGCGAAGGCGACUCUCUGGUCUGUAACUGACGCUGAGGCUCGAAAGCGUGGGUAGCAAACAGGAUUAGAUACCCUGGUAGUCCACGCCGUAAACGAUGAGUGCUAAGUGUUGGAGGGUUUCCGCCCUUCAGUGCUGCAGUUAACGCAUUAAGCACUCCGCCUGGGGAGUACGACCGCAAGGUUGAAACUCAAAGGAAUUGACGGGGACCCGCACAAGC
rnacentral:rRNA from 1 species